CGUAUAUUAAAGUUGUUGCGGUAAAAAAGCUCGUAGUUGGAUUUCUGUUGAGAGCGACCGGUCCAUACCAUGUAUGCGUAUCUGGCUUGCUCUCGGCAUCCUCUCGAUAGACGUUGCUGCGCUUGAUUGCGUGGCGCGGAUCUCGGGACUUUUACUUUGAGGAAAUUAGAGUGUUCACGGCAGGCUUUCGCCAGAAUACAUUAGCAUGGAAUAAUACUAUAGGAUCUUGGUUCUAUUUUGUUGGUUUCUAGAAUUGAGAUAAUGAUUAAUAGGGACAAUUGGGGGCAUUCGUAUCAACACGUCAGAGGUGGAAUUCUUGGAUUGUGUUGCGACGAACUACUGCGAAAGCAUUUGCCAAGGAUGUUUUCAUUGAUCAAGAACGAAAGUAAGGGGAUCGAAGACGAUUAGAUACCGUCGUAGUCUUUACCAUAAACUAUGCCGACUAGAGAUGGGGCAUCGUUCAUUUACGACUUGCUCCGCACCUUAUGAGAUAUCAAAGUUUUUGGGUUCCGGGGGGAGUAUGGUCGCAAGACUGAAACUUAAAGGAA
rnacentral:rRNA from 1 species